GCCGCUAUUCUAGCCUAUUGUUCGAAACUCAGAGGCAAGAGGGAGAAAUUGUAAUACCUUUCUUUUGGACUGCUUUUGCUGUUACUGAAGUUUAUUCACAAAGAUCACGUGUAGGGGCCUCCUGCUUUCCCAGGUAGCUCUCUUGGGCAGGACUUAUAUAAGGCUCCAGACGGCGCCAUGCCUGUGUUGGCCCCCUGUGAUCAACAGGAAAUACUCAGGAAUCCUUGGCCUUGAGGUUCCCAAGGCAGCAGCAGGUGCCUGACUCCUGGUUAUUAUUUCCGGCUGCACCUCCCGUCGCAGACGUGCCAGAUGCAAUCAAAGAGGAUACCAGAUGCAGCCAGGGUGCAGCCGCAGCACGUACGUGGGAGCCGUCCUGAGCGUCCCUUCUCCCGCCCCCGGGUCCCCAGCCACUAACCUCUCCCCCGCCCCGCGCGCCGGCCUCGCUGCGCACCCCCGCCCGAGGUCGAACGUGGACAGGCUGUGCGCACGCGCGAGGGAGGGGCGCGCGGCGGCGGGGAGGUGGGGGGGACCCGCCUGGGACCCCCGAUGGCAGGGGAGCACCGCGUUCGAGGGGCCCGCGAGGCCGCUAGCGAUUCCCUCACCAGGCUCACUUAGAAGCUUCUUUAGGGGCGCCUGGGUGGCUCAGUCGGUUAAGCGUCCGACUUCGGCUGGGGUCAUGAUCUCACAGUCCGUGAGAUCGAGCCUCGCAUCGGGCUCUGUGGUGACAGCUCGGAGCCUGGAGCCUGCUUCACAUUCUGUGUCUCCCUCUCUCUGCCCCCUCCCUGCUCAUGCUGUGUCUUUCUCUGUCUCAAAAAUAAAUAAACAUUAAGAAAAAAAAAUAAAAUAAAAAUAGAAGCUUCUUUAGCCAUUCUUCCAGGGAUUUCCCUUCCCACGCCAGAAUGCCUUACCUACCUACGCCCACUCCCCAACGGAUACGCCCCUAAUAUAAUAAACAGUUAACAGGGCUCCAAAGAUGCCACGAUCACUUGGAUGAAGCGCUCGAAUGUGACCAUCAAUAUGAAUGAUGGCCGCCCUCCAUGUUAAUGAACAGGUAUUUAAGUUUCUACGAGACCAAAGAACCAGCGGGGCAGUCGUUGACAGGUUGCCACAGUGGCUCUGAGCAGAGUAGUGUGCUGACCGUCCUGACCGAGAUCUCCUGCGGUGGAAGAGAACGACUGGAAGUUUUCCCUGGGAGUAAGUACGAAGAAGAGUCAGGAAAAGAUUCUUUCCUGGGGUUUCUGAGCGAAGGCUUUGUGUACUGAGGGAAACCAGGAGAAGUCUACUUUCAUUAUGGUGCUUUCUUGCUCAAAAUCAUUGGCUUCCCAUUGCCUAAAGCAGCAUUUCCGAAGCAAGUUCCACACAAUUGCUUUUUAAAGAACUUUAAUGCCUCUAAUGUGUUCACAUGCCCUGUAAAUUCCCAAGAGGAGUACACAGAAUCUAGUGUUUCCCAAACAAAUUUGCUCUUGGAAUCUUGUUUUCAUGGAACAUCUCAGAGGAACACAUUUUUAGAAACGCUGGUCCACGCGAUAAAGUCACGUUCUGGCAUUCCA